rnacentral:rRNA from 1 species
AUUGAACGCUGGCGGCAGGCCUAACACAUGCAAGUCGAGCGCGCGGCGGACGGGUGAGUAAUGUAUGGGGACUGCCCGAUAGAGGGGGGUAACUAUUGGAAACGGUGGCUCAUACCCCAUACUGUCGGAUAAUCCCUAUGGGAUUAGCUAGUAGGUCAGGUAAUGGCUAACCCAGGCGACGAUCCCUAGCUGGUCUGAGAGGAUGAGCAGCCACACGGGAACUGAGACACGGCCCAGACUCCUACGGAGGCAGCAGUGGGGAAUAUUGCACAAUGGGCGCAAGCCUGAUGCAGCCAUGCCGCGUGUGUGAAGAAGGCCCUAGGGUUGUAAAGUACUUUCAGUCGGGAGGCGUUACCGACAGAAGAAGCACCGGCUAACUCCGUGCCAGCAGCCGCGGUAAUUC